rnacentral:rRNA from 1 species
AUUGAACGCUGGCGGCAUGCCUUACACAUGCAAGUCGAACGGCAGCACGGGAGCAAUCCUGGUGGCGAGUGGCGAACGGGUGAGUAAUAUAUCGGAACGUGCCCAGUCGUGGGGAUAACGUAGCGAAAGCUACGCUAAUACCGCAUACGAUCUAUGGAUGAAAGCGGGGGAUCGCAAGACCUCGCGCGAUUGGAGCGGCCGAUAUCAGAUUAGGUAGUUGGUGAGGUAAAGGCUCGCCAAGCCGACGAUCUGUAGCUGGUCUGAGAGGACGACCAGCCACACUGGGACUGAGACACGGCCCAGACUCCUACGGAGGCAGCAGUGGGGAAUUUUGGACAAUGGCGCAAGCCUGAUCCAGCAAUGCCGCGUGCAGGAUGAAGGCCUGGUGUAA